rfam:Triticum aestivum genome assembly, contig: Triticum_aestivum_CS42_TGACv1_scaffold_213861_3AS
UUUUUACUCACUCCAUCCAAAAAUAAGUGUUUUAGAUUUAUUAAAAAGUGGAUGUAUCUAGACUUUUUCAUGUCUAGAUACAUCCAUUUUUAGACAAAUUCAAGACACAUAUUUUAGGACGGUGUGAGUAUUAA